rnacentral:rRNA from 1 species
UACGGGGGGGGCAAGCGUUGUUCGGAAUUACUGGGCGUAAAGGGCGCGUAGGCGGUUCGCUAAGUUGAAUGUGAAAACUCUGGGCUUAACCCAGAGCCUGCAUUCAAUACUGGCGGGCUAGAGUUCUGGAGGGGAUAGCGGAAUUCCUGGUGUAGCGGUGGAAUGCGCAGAUAUCAGGAGGAACACCGAUGGCGAAGGCAGUUCUCUGGGCCGUAACUGACGCUGAGGAGCGAAAGCGUGGGAGCGAACAGG